rnacentral:rRNA from 1 species
GACGAACCGUGCGAACGUUAUUCGGAAUCACUGGGCUUAAAGCGCGUGUAGGCGGGAGGGCACGUCCGUCGCUGAAAUCCCCCGGCUCAACCGGGGAACGGGCGCGGAUACGACCUUCCUGGAGGGGCGUAGGGGGACCUGGAACUUCCGGUGGAGCGGUGAAAUGCGUUGAGAUCCGGAAGAACACCGGUGGCGAAGGCGGCCUGCUGGGCAGUUGCUGACACUGAGGCGCGACAGCGUGGGGAGCAAACAGG